GACGAACGCUGGCGGCGUGCUUAACACAUGCAAGUCGAACGGGAAGGCCCUGCUUUUGGGGGGUGCUCGAGUGGCGAACGGGGGAGUAACACGUGAGUAACCUGCCCUUGACUUUGGGAUAACUUCAGGAAACUGGGGCUAAUACCGGAUAGGAGCUCCUGCUGCAUGGUGGGGGUUGGAAGGUUUCGGCGGUUGGGGAUGGACUCGCGGCUUAUCAGCUUGUUGGUGGGGUAGUGGCUUACCAAGGCUUUGACGGGUAGCCGGCCUGAGAUGGUGACCGGCCACACUGGGACUGAGCUACGGCCCAGACUCCUCCGGGAGGCAGCAGUGGGGUAUAUUGCACAAUGGGCGGAAGCCUGAUGCAGCCACGCCGCGUGCCGGAUGACGGCCUUCGGGUUGUAAACCGCUUUCGCCUGUGACGAAGCGUGAGUGACGGUAAUGGGUAAAGAAGCACCGGCUAACUACGUG
rnacentral:rRNA from 1 species